CAACGGUCGAUCCUGCCUGGCGGUUCGCAGGCCUGGCUCCACAUGGGGAGCCACUCUACGGGACUCGAAGAAACGCUCGUAGGUUUUGGAGUGCCAGAUUUGAGAGCCCUCCUGGGGUCUGGGAUCCGGCUUAGGGGCGGCGCGCUAGGGACGGUGGAUGUUCGGAUCCUGGCUGAGCAAGUCGUUUCCAGGGCGGCCUCUUGUAAAAGCCAGAGUGGGAAGAACUGUAGAGAAAGAACGGGCUCGGGGCACAAGCAACUCUAGGAGGAGAGGAAUGCCUCCAGAAGAGGGAAAAGUCCAUCCAGGUCACUGGGCUAUGACAGUGCCCAGAGCUCCUCAGGGUCUUAGUUUUCAACCACAUUGGGAAGGGACAGGAGAGGCCACUUCAUUCAUUAGCAGCCUUGUUCCUAGCAAGUGCCCAGCAGGUGUUUUUGGAAUGACUUGUAGAAAUGAGUAUCCAGUUCUGAGAUUCCUGAAUUCACCCCUCAGAUGUUUUUAUGUAUACCCUGUGCUUGAACACAACUGUAAUUCUCCAACAGGGAGUCCUCCCGAGCUGGCUUUUCUGCAAAAUGUUAAGAUUUUUGAAACGGCCUCUAGUGGUGACUGUUGACAUCAAUUUGAACUUGGUAGCUCUGACUGGCCUGGGACUACUUACCCGACUAUGGCAACUCUCCUACCCUCGGGCUGUGGUUUUCGAUGAAGUAUAUUAUGGGCAGUACAUUUCCUUCUACAUGAAGCGCAUCUUCUUUCUGGAUGACAGUGGGCCACCAUUUGGCCACAUGCUACUGGCCUUAGGAGGUUGGUUAGGGGGAUUCGAUGGUAACUUUCUGUGGAACCGAAUUGGAGCAGAGUACAGUAGCAAUGUGCCUAUAUGGUCCUUACGCCUGCUGCCAGCGCUUGCCGGGGCCCUGUCAGUGCCCAUGGCCUACCAGAUAGUGCUAGAGCUCCACUUUUCCCACGGUGCUGCCAUUGGAGCCGCCCUGCUGAUGCUCAUUGAGAACGCCCUGAUCACUCAGUCCAGGCUCAUGCUGUUGGAGUCCAUACUGAUAUUUUUUAACCUGUUGGCUGUGUUGUCCUAUCUGAAGUUCUUCAACUCCCAGACACACAGCCCUUUCUCAGUGCACUGGUGGCUGUGGCUACUGCUGACCGGGGUCUCUUGUUCCUGUGCAGUUGGGAUCAAAUACAUGGGGAUUUUCACCUACCUGCUUGUGCUCGGCAUUGCAGCUGUCCACGCGUGGAAUCUGAUCGGAGACCAGACCUUGUCAAAUAUGCGCGUGCUCAGUCACUUGCUCGCCAGAAUCGUGGCUCUGCUGGUCGUCCCAGUCUUCCUGUACUUACUCUUCUUCUAUGUCCACCUGAUGCUGCUCUACCGCUCUGGGCCCCAUGACCAAAUCAUGUCCAGUGCCUUCCAGGCCAGCUUGGAGGGAGGGCUUGCCCGCAUCACCCAAGGCCAGCCCCUGGAGGUGGCCUUUGGUUCCCAGGUCACUCUGAAGAGCGUCUCUGGCAAACCCUUGCCCUGCUGGCUUCAUUCGCACAAGAACACCUAUCCCAUGAUAUAUGAGAAUGGCCGUGGCAGCUCCCACCAGCAACAGGUGACCUGUUAUCCCUUCAAAGACAUCAAUAACUGGUGGAUCGUCAAGGAUCCUGGGCGACACCAGCUGGUGGUAAACAACCCUCCCCGGCCUGUAAGACAUGGAGACAUUGUACAGCUCGUUCACGGCAUGACCACCCGCCUCCUUAACACGCACGAUGUCGCAGCCCCACUGAGCCCCCAUUCUCAAGAAGUCUCCUGCUACAUUGACUAUAACAUCUCCAUGCCUGCCCAGAACCUCUGGAAACUGGACAUUGUGAACAGAGAGUCCAACCGGGAUACCUGGAAGACUAUCUUGUCGGAAGUGCGCUUUGUACAUGUGAACACAUCCGCCAUCUUGAAGCUGAGCGGGGCUCACCUCCCUGACUGGGGGUUCCGGCAGUUGGAGGUAGUUGGGGAGAAGUUGUCACCGGGCUACCACGAGAGCAUGGUGUGGAAUGUGGAAGAACACCGGUAUGGCAAAACCUCUCUGUGUCUCGUCCUUGUCUACUGUCAGGCCAUGAGCAGAAGGAGAGGGAGCUGGAGCUCCACUCGCCCACUCAGCUCGAUAUCAGCAGGAACCUCAGCUUCAUGGCCAGAUUCUCAGAGUUACAGUGGAAGAUGCUGACGCUGAAGAAUGAGGACUUGGAACACCAGUACAGCUCCACCCCGCUGGAGUGGCUCACGCUGGACACCAACAUCGCCUAUUGGCUACAUCCCAGGACCAGUGCUCAGAUCCACUUGCUUGGGAACAUUGUGAUCUGGACUUCAGCCAGCCUUGCCACAGUGGUCUACACUCUACUCUUCUUCUGGUACCUGCUCCGCCGGCGAAGGAGCAUCUGUGACCUCCCUGAGGAUGCCUGGUCCCGCUGGGUGCUGGCUGGAGCCCUGUGUACUGGCGGCUGGGCACUCAACUACCUGCCCUUCUUCCUGAUGGAGAGGGUGCUCUUCCUCUACCACUACUUGCCGGCACUCACCUUCCAGAUCCUGCUGCUCCCGAUUGUCCUGCAGCACGCCAGCGACCAUCUGUGCAGGUCCCAGCUGCAGAGGAAUGUCUUCAGUGCCCUGGUUGUAGCAUGGUAUUCCUCCGCAUGCCAUGUGUCCAACAUGCUACGCCCACUAACCUAUGGGGACACGUCACUCUCACCAGGCGAGCUCCGGGCCCUUCGCUGGAAAGACAGCUGGGAUAUUCUGAUCCGAAAGUAAUAGAGAACAAGAACACAGAAGACAAGCACACAGGACAAAGCCUCAAAGAUGUGUUUGUCUCCCACCAACAGGAGCCUCAGCAGGCAGGACUGCCAGGGUCCAGGAGGAACUCCAGGGACUAAUUCCAAUUUCACCUCAAGAGCCCUGUCCACUGGUUCCUUGUUUGAAGCAAUUGAUUUCUCUUCACACAGUGAAGAAUGUGCCCAGCCACAGCGUUACCCAUGAGGCCCAACUCUGACCCAGCCAGAGUUUGAGCUGCCAGUGUAGGAACCACCAAGGCAGGAGGGGCACCCAGCCAGGGAAGGAGUGGGGGGGACUCAGGACGAGCUGCGGGCCUACUAUAGGGCCUUAGCCCUGUCAUUUAUGGGGCCCACAGUGCCACACCUCAUUGGGCACAGGCACAGCCACCCUCUGUAAACCCUGAAAGCUGCCAGCCAUCCACAGACUCCUGAGCCAACUCUAAAGAGUCCUGGGAGACUGCAGCCACCUAACUGCCACGGCCAAGGUGUCGUCCAUUCACUUCCUUACCUUUAAUGUAAAUAAAACAGGACAAAUUGUUAA